rnacentral:rRNA from 1 species
ACUCCUACGGGAGGCAGCAGUGGGGAAUAUUGCACAAUGGGCGCAAGCCUGAUGCAGCCAUGCCGCGUGUAUGAAGAAGGCCUUCGGGUUGUAAAGUACUUUCAGCAGUGAGGAAGGUGGGUAUGUUAAUAGCAUACUCAUUUGACGUUAGCUGCAGAAGAAGCACCGGCUAACUCCGUGCCAGCAGCCGCGGUAAUACGGAGGGUGCGAGCGUUAAUCGGAAUUACUGGGCGUAAAGCGCAUGCAGGUGGUUUGUUAAGUCAGAUGUGAAAGCCCGGGGCUCAACCUCGGAAUUGCAUUUGAAACUGGCAAACUAGAGUACUGUAGAGGGGGGUAGAAAUUUCAGGUGUAGCGGUGAAAUGCGUAGAGAUCUGAAGGAAUACCGGUGGCGAAAGGCGGCCCCCUGGACAGAUACUGACACUCAGAUGCGAAAGCUGGGGAGCAAACAGGAUUAGAUACCCGGUAGGCUCU